AAUCAUAGAGUUCGUGCGAAAGCCUGAUCAAGCAAUGCCGCUUGUGUGAAGAAGGUUCUCGGAAUGUAAAGCACUUGAAGUCGGGAGGAAGUUCAGUCAGUUGAUACCUUACUGUUUUGUCGUUACCGACAGAAUAAUCACCGGCUCACUUCGUGCUAGCAGCCGCGGUAAUACGAAGGGUGCAAGCGUUAAUCGGAAUUACUAGGCGUAAAGCGCGCGUAGUUGGUUUGUUAAGUUGGAAGUGAAAGCCCCGGGCUCAACCUGGGAACUGCUUUCAAAACUGGCAAGCUAGAGUAUGGCAGAGAGUGGUGGAAUUUCCUGUGUAGCGGUGAAAUGCGUAGAUAUAGGAAGGAACACCAGUGGCGAAGGCGACCACCUGGGCUAAUACUGACACUGAGGUGCGAAAGCGUGGGGAGCAAAC
rnacentral:rRNA from 1 species